UGCAAAGUGCUAUGCGUCAGUGAUUCUUAACCGUCUGGUACGUGCUGGGGAAACACUGGACCUACGGCAUCCAUGCCAAGCGGGUUUCAGGCGGGGUUUCGGUACCGCUCUUGUCAAGCAACACCUGGUCAGGCGAUUACCAGCGGCGAUAACAGCUUCAUAUGUCGCAGUACUACUAACGCCGAACACACGAAGUAACUAAAAUAUCCUUUUCCUUAUCUCACAGAACUAUGCAAAAAAUGUUACAAAAGCUUUGCUUUCCUGACCUACGAACUCACAG
rnacentral:lncRNA from 1 species